AUCAGGCUCGUUUACAUCCGAGCCCGAGCCCGAGCUCGAGCCCGAGCAGCUCACGAGCCCAAACAAGCUUGGACCAUUCGCUAAACAAGGAAACAGCUCCCAUUCUCUCAUGACCCACGGCCCACGGGCCCACCCAGCCAGCCCCCCUUUCGAGUGUGACUCCCGAAGUCCCGACUCCCAAUCCCAUGGCCAAAUCCCAUUUUCCCCAGCCCCCAGGCCCCCCACCGUCGAAAAGGGUGCUCAUGCCCUAAUCUCCCUCAGACCUCAGUCCCUCUCGAGUCUCGGCCUCUCCCACUCCUAGGCUCCCAGCCCUCCCCCGACUUGCUACGGCUGCCCUAGUUCCUGGAUCCGGCGUCCGGCGAUCCCCUUCCGGCCUUCCCCGACUUCCUGAAGCCCCAGCUCCGCCGCGCUCCGCCUUCCUUUGCCCGCACGCCGCGCCGCCGGCCGUGAAUCCCGACUCCACAGACAGCAGUCACAGGCUCACAGACCCCCGACCGGCGACCGGCCGACCCCGACUUGCUGGUCACAUCCUUACAGCUUAAUCCCUUGAAACACAAUCCAUCCAUGAUCCGUCUCAAGUGUAUUAUGUCUUGGCGUUGCUUUUCCUUGUCUCAGAAGCCAUGCGCGAUGGAUGGUUCCCCAAAAAAAAGCACUAUUGAAAGCAUGGGAGUCGUAGGGUCGAACAACACAAGAGAAUAGUUGGACCCCCAAGCAUGUGGCCUCGGAGAAUGACCUGCCACGGACCAAAGAAUUAUUGCAACACAGAGGAGCAGUCACGUGAGCAGCAUGGGCAUAACCGACGAUCAAACUUUUCUAGUUAUGAUUGGUGUCUCUACUCUCUGCCCCCGGAAUUCUGCGAGCCACCCAUCUCCGGGGACAAACCAGGAAGAACAAAAGGGAGACCAAAACAAGCGAUGAGUCGUUUGGCAUUAUAAUUAGGUAUUAAAUUACUAUUGCGGUAGAUGGGGGGUCGGCUUCGAAGCUGGAGCUUAUCCCGCCGCAUAUUCCCGCUUUGACUCUCUUUCCAUGAGACGGUACCCGAGCGCGCGGCGCAGCGUAUUUUACCAUGCACUUCAUUAAUUCAUUCAUCGAACCGUCGAGAUCCUCUGAUCAAUGCGAUCCUGUAGCUGUGAUUCCGAGGGGCAUAGGAAUUAUCCUCUUUCGCGUGGCCUUUUGGCGAUUUGGCUGCUUGCUUUCUUCUGGUCUUGGUGGACUCAUAAAGGCAGGCUCGAGGACAUCAGCGCGUGGCACGAUGGAGAAUAUUUAUGUGUCCUGCACGAGCCUAACAAAAAGGUUGCACUAUUCCGUGAGACAGAGAGAUAAGAUGGCUUGCAUUCCAAUUUCUUUUUUUUUUUUAAAAAUGCUGAUCUCACAUUUGAUCUUAAAGCAAUUAAAGAAUGAAUGUUGCUCCGUCGAUCGUUUUCUAUGACCAUAUGUUGUACCAAUAGAAAACUAUCAAUUUAUCGGUAUGAUUUGUUAUUUACGUAGAAAAAAGUUUUCUUCCA